rnacentral:rRNA from 1 species
UACGUAGGGGGCAAGCGUUGUCCGGAAUCAUUGGGCGUAAAGCGCGUGUAGGCGGCUUGGUAAGUCCGCUCUGAAAGCCCGGGGCUCAACCCCGGGAGGCGGGUGGAUACUGUCAAGCUCGAGUCCGGAAGAGGCGAGUGGAAUUCCUGGUGUAGCGGUGAAAUGCGCAGAUAUCAGGAGGAACACCAAUGGCGAAGGCAGCUCGCUGGGACGUGACUGACGCUGAGACGCGAAAGCGUGGGGAGCAAACAAGG